GUAAUGAGAAGAUCCAGAAGCAUUUGAAAGUAUUCAUGUCAAUGAACAGCCAAAGUAGAGAAAAGAUGUAUACAGCCAACAUCUUCAUGCCCCAGGAGCCCAAGUUUGGAGAUCUUUGUUUCAUUCUCAAAGGACAGCUCUACUUAUCCUUCCAAUGAUCACUGCCAAGUUCUCUUUAGCCAUGCAAAUGGUUUCUCUUGACGAUUGACCCAUGAACACUUGAAAGGAAGGUGUAUUCUGCCACUUUAAAAUGAAGUGCUUUAUAAACAACAAAGAGCUCAAGUUAGCUAAAACUGGAUACAGGCGCAGAUUUAUUAUAUGAAUAUAUUACGUAGUGGCAAAGUCCAGGCUUUUAAGGGAACAGCAGAGAUUUCUGCCUUGGUUGCACAGAAGGAAGGAAUACACAUAGAAAUGAACACUAUUUGAGGAGCGAAUACAGCUGGAUAAUAAAAGAAGAGACUUUUUUUUCAAAGCUGUUCAUUUUUCAAUCCGCAAGAAUUAAGAUAUAAUUACAAAAUGACUGUCACAUGGAAUAUUAUUUGACUCCUGAGAAUGAAAGCUUUCUUUUUUAUGUAAGCAGAGAGAAAUAAAGGUUGGUGUC
rnacentral:lncRNA from 1 species